rnacentral:lncRNA from 1 species
AAAUGUAAAAUCGGGCCUCGCAAUUUCGUUAUCAGUGAACACCCCUAAAAAACACCAAAGCAAAAGACAAAGCAAUAAAUAAAAAGGAAACCAAAUAUCUAACCCAGUCAACCGCAACAGCUGGACACUAUAACUCCAUCGUCUCUUCACAUCACUUGUCCUAUCUGUUCAGACAAUAGCCAUUUCCAAGAUAUGUUCCUUACCUGCUAUAUGUUUUGCUUUUAUUUCUCCACGAAGCCUCCUCAAUAAGGGUUCCUCGACCAUCUUCCUUCCGGAGUAGAUCAAUUGUGAUCCGAAACUACUCUCAUCAGGUGCGAUUCUUCUCCCUUUUCUAAAGCUUCUUGUGCAAGUUUAUAGGCACAAACAUUUUCUAAUCUAUGAAUAAAUUGAAAAAUAAUUUCUUGAAAACGAGAUUUUUUUCUUUGAAAAUCCCUAAUAAUCACCCUAAUAACCGAUUUAUCUGGCUUUGCUGUUUGGCAUUUCUUGAUGACUGUUCAUGAAUCCCCCAUGAUUGUUACUGAGAGGAUACCCAUUGAGAUUCCUAACUUAAUGGCCUGUAAACCUGCAUAUGCCUCUGCCGCAAACGGAUAGGAAAUGUCGUUAUGUAGGGUUGUCUUCGAUGCUAGAAUCUCGCCCAUCAGACCUCGAACCACAGACCCGAAGCCGAUUUGGAAUUUUUUUGUCAAAAGCUGCAUCAAACUGAAUCGUCACCCUCGUGCUCCCUUCUCGUUUUCUGUGGCUUCUAUCCUCAUUUGAGGUAGUCUUCCUUUCUCCCAAACCAUAUAAUUCUGCCAUAUACAUAUGUAUUCUCUGUGAUAAUUCCCUUCCCAUCGUGUUCUUUCCCUCAUGUACUAGCUGAUUCCUUGAACUCCAGAUUGACCAUAAAGCACAGCAAAAAAGUCGGCACUGUUUACAAGAACCCCUCUUGAAAACCUAGAUAAGCCACUCCCAAAAGUUUUGAUUCGUAUUAUUUAUGACCCAAUAGAGGUUUAAAUAAAUAAAUGGGGUAAGCUAUAUAGCUUAGUAAGUUGGUAUGUAAAUAAUAAAUAAUUUGUUAACAUGCUUUUACCAAUCUUCACAAUAUGUUCUCAAUAUAAUACAAUUAUAAUUGCACAUAGUUCCAAUAUUUAUUCAUGUUCACGUCAAGUUGUCUACUCGAGUCAUAGUCACUGAAUUAUUUAUGUCUUGUGCUACGAAACUCAAAAUUAAGAUCCGCUUAUUUUUCUAAAACUAGACUCACAUAUCUUGUUAUCAUAAAAUUUUAAAAAAUUUUGGUUUUGCCAAUAAGUACAGUUAAUUCUUCAAAGUCGUCUUUGUUCUGCUGUUUGACAGUUCUGGCCUUUCUUCUCUAAAAAUUAAUUAUCUCUUAGUACGGAAUUCAGAUGAUGUUUCCGUUUAUUUAUCUUGAAAAUAGACUCAUUAAUAAUUCUAAUCAUAUAAAUUCUAACCCAUAAUUAUUUUUAUACAAAUUUUAAUGAUUUUCCAAAGUCAGAAUAGGAGAUUCCGAAAUUAUUCUAACCUUAUCUCACAAAAAUUUAAAUAUCUCAUAAUAUGAGAUUCUUUUGCUUACAUCGUUUCUUCUACGUGAAAUUAGACUCAAUAAGCUUUAAUUUAAUGUAUUAUUCAACCUCUAAUGUGAUUUCCACAAUUUUUUGAGUUUUCAAAGUUAUACAAUUGUUGUUGUUCAAAACUAUUUUAUUGCAAUUUUUAAUCUUUCAUGAUUUCUUUGUAUUAACAUUUAUUUCGACACACAUAACACCAAAGCAUAUCCAUAACUAGCCAUUCCAAUAGCUAAUCAUUAUCAUAUAUUCACAUGCCAUUCAUUGGCCAAUUUCACCUAUACAUCAACAACAAAGACUUAAACAUAUCAUGUCUCAAUUUAAUUUGGCCUAAAAGCCUCACACAUUCAUCAAUCAAAUUUACCACAUAUUUAUACCUCAUAAGUAUAGACCUAUAAUCACAAGGUCAUCACAAGAUCAUUCUCAUAAGUAUGACUUACUUAUUUACAUUCUUGCCAAAAUGUCCAAUAUACAUCGAGUUCAUUACUCAUGAAUUUUUCGUACAUACUUGUAUCCUUUCAACAUGAUCAUACAUUGUCUUUUCUUUGACAUAAUCUUUAAAUUACCCGUUGGACCACUUGGAACACUAAGUAUACUUGGGAAAGCUCAUACAUAAUGUAUCGUACCAAUGUCAUGUCCCAGACAUGGUCUUACAUAAAAAUCUCGUAUCGAUGCCAAUAGCCCAGCUAUGGUCUUACACGAAAUCUCAAAUUGAUGCCAAUAGCCUAGCUAUGGUCUUACACAGAAUCUCAAAUCGAUGCCAAUAGCCUAGCUAUGGUCUUACACGAAAUCACACCUCGGAAGUUCUAAUAUCAUGACAUCAAUAUCCAAUACAUUUACUAAGGUUCAUUCGGAGCUUUCGACUUCGUAAUUAAAUCAAUUCAUGUACGAAACAAGUCAUCCAAUGCUCAAAUCAAUUCGACAAUAUAUAUCCAUAUACGAAUCAAAUUCGGCAAUGUAUAUCUACAUACAAAUUAAUUUGGCAAUGUAUAUCCAUAUACAAAUCAAAUUCGGCAAUGUAUAACCAUAUACAAAUCAAAUUCGGCAAUGUAUAUCUAUAAACAAUUCAAAUUCGGCAAUGUAUAUCUAUAUGCAAAUCAAAUUCGACAAUGUAUAUCUAUAAAAAAUUCAAAUUUGCCAAUGUAUAUCUAUAUACAAAUCAAAUUCGGCAAUGUAUAAAACAUAUAUAUUUAAAUUCAAAAUUAUUUAUUUACUUAUGAACUUACCUCAUAUGGAAACGAAUCGAUCGGAUCAACUACUCGUCAACUUUCGAUUUCUCUUGAUCUAAAUCUAAUUUUUUUUCUUUCUUGAUCUAUAUGAAUUCAAAUUUAACUCAUUUAAUCACAUAUUCAUUCAAUUUCAUCUAAAAAUACCUAUUUGGACAUUUUAGCACUUUAGCCCUUAAAGUUUCACAUUUAUUAAAUUUAAUUCCUAUUUCACAAAUACACAAAAUUCACACAAUUUAAUAUAACCUAAGCUUAGCCGAAUUACUAUAGUGCCCCUAGCAGCCCAAAAAUUUCAUUAUUUCACAUUUUAACCACUCAAUUUGCAUAUUUCAUAAUUUAAUCCCUAUUUGACAUUUUUGUCAAAAAUCACUUUACAAAACAUAUUAAUCUAUCAACAAUUAUUCAUUUUUCAUCAUCAACAUUUAAAAACAUCAAGCUAUCAUCAAUGGAAACUCACAAAUUCAUCAACCAAUUCAAAAAUUAGGGCAUGGGCUAGCUAGAGCACAAAGCAACGAUCUCAAAAACAUAGAAAUAUUUAAAAAUGGGACAAAAUAUCUUACCAAUCAAGCAAAAUAAGCAUGACCGAACCCUAGCUAUGGUUUUUCCAUGUUAGAAUCGAUUGAAGUGUUUUUGUGAAGAAGAUGGACAUAUAAUUCUUAAGUUAUUUUAUCAUUAUUAAUUAUUUUACCUUUAUAACCUUAUAAAAUAUUACUAAUUUCAAAAAUGUCAAUCCAACACAUUCCACUAUCACCAUUUAUGGUCUAAUUACCAUAUAAGAACUUAAACUUUAAUGUUGUAUAGCUAUUAGACACUUUUAGCUUAUAGAACACAACUUUUAUGCUUUACGCGAUUUAGUCUUUUUUAUCGAAUUAAGCAUUCAAACAAUAAAAUUUAUUUACGUAACUUUCACACAUAUAUAAUCACAUGCUGUAAAUACCAAAAAUAAUAUUAAAAUAAUUUUUCUCAUCGAGUUUGUGGUCUCGAAACCACUGUUCCGACUAGACCCAAAAUCGGGCUAUUACAAGUCUUUCAUAACCCAUCAAGCUUCGAACUUGCUAUAUCUUACAAUUCAACCAUUUGUCUUACCUUUUCGUAUUAAUUAGAAUAGGAUAAUGAUCGGAUAAAAAAUGCACAAGAUGUUGAAUUGUUACCUCACGAAACAUGGUCAUCCAUUCCUCGUUUGCCACUCCUCUAUCCAAUCGUUCUUGGAUGUUUGUUUUCGGCAAAUUGUCUCUCUCCCAUGUGAACCAAUUACUAAAAUACCCCACAUCCAUCAGGUGACAAUCUUCCAACACAUUUCGAAAAGUUUUCAUUCUUCUUUAAUCUCUAAGCAGCCCUCUCUUUUUCUCAAAGCCAUAUAUAAUUUCAUUAAAAUCUCCGCAUACAAACCAAGGAUACCCUCAUCGUUAUAUAGAUUAGUCAAAAGAGCCCAUGAGUCAUCUCUACCCUAUGCAUAAGGGGUUCCAUAAAAACCUGUGUAUCUUCAUUUAUUCCCUACUUCAGUAUAUUCAAUUAUCACAUCAAUAUGCCUUUUAGAAAAAUUCUAAAGCGUGAUAUUGACAUCAUUUCUCCAUGCCAAACACAACCCUCCUCUAGAACCAUCCGAAUCAACAUCAAUACCAUUAGCAUAACCAUAACUUCGUCGAACUCUUUCCAUCUGACUUCUACAAAACUUUGUCUCUAUAAAGAGGACCAUCUGGGGAUUAUAUAUCUUCAGCGAAUGCCGAAGUCUUCGAACUGUUCGUGGGCUCCCCAAUCCACAAACAUUCCAACUUAAAAUUUUUAUUACGUCCGGUUGGCUUGCCUCUUAGCAGUCGUUGAUGAUAAAUGGUUAAUUUCCAACAUUCUCCUAUUCCUUACUGCCAAAGUGUUGAUCUCUUCUCUGGCUGUUAAGUCUUCAAUCUCCUCCUAGCUCUAUUUUUCCCCUUCUUUCGAUUAAUACACCAUCUUCUAGAUCAUGAUCCAUUACAAUUUGAGCCAAACCUACCAAUGGAUUUUCCCCCCAUUGACAUGAAGAAGACAAACUCCCUUCCAAAUUAAAUCCCAAUACUAGAUCAAUAGCCUUCCUACACCCCGAUUUUUUUUUACGUUCUACAAAUUGUUUCCUUGUACUCGGCUACCCUCACGGUUUCCACCCAAUUCUCCCUCACUUUCCUCACGUAACCAGACACUGUUCAUUACUUGGGCUCUUUGAGAUUGUGCUCGCAACGAUAAAUCCCAACCUAUUUCAUCAAUUUCCACUCUUAACGCCAUUUUUGCUUCACAAAAAAAAUAACUAUGGCCCAAUCGACCACAGUAGAAAUAGAAGAAUGAUAGUCUUUCAUACUUAAAUCUGACAUAUGAUCAUUUUCCACAAAACAUAAUUUGCUUCUUCAUCUUCAAUGGAUGUCGUAUAUCAAUUUGGACUCUUAUUCUCAUAAAGUUUCGAUUUUCUUUCCCCAGAUUCGAACUGUCAUACUCCAUAAAUUCCCCUAUGAAAUUACCCAAUUGCAUUGCCAAGUUUUCAAAGAAAAAACCGAUAGGAACAUCAUGAAUCUGUACCAAAAAAUGUGUCAAAAUUAAAGAACUUUUAAUGGAUCCUUCCCCAUUGCAGCUUGUAUAACACCAACAAGUGGUUGUUAAAAGUCCAUGGUGACCCCUUCAAAACCCUUUCCAUAUCCCAUAACAUGAAAAAAUUGAAACAAAAACCUUUUCUCCCCCAUAUCCCGGAUUUGAACACCCCGAACAGGAUGCCAUAAAUUCACUAUAGUACUUUUCAUUGCUAGGAAGUGAAUAAUGCUAGUUGUUAGGAAACACCCCACUAGCCGAAAAGCCCCCGUCUCCCUUUUCGUAUUCGGCUCUAAUUGUACUUGUAAAACUGCUUAUUCUUCUUCAUUAAGCGUUAAUCCAGCAAAUUCAGUUUCCAUGAAUGCAGGCAGAAAUCCCAAACGUGGGUAUCAGUUUUCUAAAAGAAAAAAGAAGACUUAAGAGACGAUCGCCAUCGAACAAAACAGAAGACUAAAACAAAAAACCUAAAAACAUGCUAGAGAGAGCAGACAGUUGCAUGCUAGGGUAGCAGACUUUUUUUUUUUAUAUAAAAACAAUUAUUUAAGUCCAUGUGUUUAUCAAUAACUUAUCUAAUUUUCUAAUUUUCAUAAAGUAAGAUAAUCAUAUUUUAAAAAAAUAAAGUUAAAAUACUAAUGUUUCAAUUUUUAUAAAGUGGAAAAACAAAAUUAAGAUUUUACGAAUUCUCUUCAUUUGUCAUUAGAUACACUCAAAAACUCAUAGGUAACUUUUUAUUGUUUAAAUGUUAAAUAAAAUAACAAAAAUUACUAGAACACUAAUAAAAAUUCUAUAUAUUAAAAGGGAAAGUUAAGACUUAAGAGCAAAAAAAUUAUUAAUAUUUCAAAUUUUUAAAAAAUAUAAAAUAAUACAAAGAUAAAAUUAUACUUUAAAUUUUUUAUUUAUUUUUAACAUCUAAAAUGAUUUUCUAACUUUACCCUGGGUCACAUCCAUUUCUCAGAAUUAAUUAGAAAAAAUAUAUAUUAGGUUUCGUUCAUGUUUAUGGGUAGGGCAUAGGCAUUAUAGUAACAUGCUUUAUACUUACCCAAAGUUGACUCGAAAUGUGGUUUUAAAAUUUUGCUCAUAUUUAUAAAAAAACUAACUCAAACUCAUUUUAAGCUUACAUAUAUUGCUUUUAAAAAUUUAAAUAUAUGUUUGUUAUUUUUAAUUUAAUAUUUUAUAAUUUUAUAUAUAGUCAUCAUAACAUUUUUUAAUCUAUAUAUUAAAUUUAAUUUUCUUUGCUAUAAUUAUAUGAUCUAUAAAAUAACAUAAUAUAAAACAUUAUAAAUUUUAAAAAAAAGUUGAGUCAAGCUCAAACCUUAAAUAUUCAACCUUAAACCUGAUCCAUAUCUUAAACAGAUUUAUUUUCAAACUUAAUAUUAUCACUCAAGCUCUUUUAAAUUUAAAGGAACUUUCGUUUGGACAAAUAAAAAAACUAUCAACAAUUCUAUCAUUUAAGUUUCUUUUUUAUGACUUUUAAUCAUUUGAUACAUUAAAUACACUUUUAUUUUAUUUUAAUUAAUUCUACUUCUCUCUCUCCCAAUCUUUAUCAUCUUUCAUGUUUGCACGUGUCAUCUCUAUACGGGUUUUGUUCUCCCACCAUUGAAUUUAUCGAGCUCCCGCAUUAUAUUGUGGAGCCCAGUUUUGCUGUUUUCAAAGUGGCUUUUUCCUUUCAACAAGACAAUCCUAAUUUAUUCCGUUUCGAUUUGAAUUAGUUGCCCACUGCUUGCAGCCCAAGUCUGAUGUAUAUCCUCCACCAAAUUCUAAAUGAAACCAAAAUUCUGUCGAUUCGAUUUGCAUUCCAAUUAAUUUUAUUUUUAUUUAAUAUAUUUAAUUCAUAUAUUAAAACAUCAUAAAUUGAUAAUAUAGUACGAAUUAGAUUGAUGUUAUUUAAUUUGGUUUCGAUUAGAUUCUUAAAAAAAAUUAUUAUUAAAUUUUACUUUAACUAAAGGUAUGUUAAUUGAAAACCUCAAAUAAUAAAUAAUAAAAAUAUUACAAAAAAAACCUAAUUACAAGAACAUUGAUCAAAGAAUAUAAAACAAUAUCGUUUUUAUACAUAUAUGUAUAAAAUUAAUUAAAGCAAAAAUAAAAGGCAUAAUAACUUAUUUGGUUCUCCAAUUUUAUAAAAAAUUAUUUUAACCUUUUAUUUAUUUUUUUUUUGUCUCUUUUAGCUCUUAAACUUUUUUUUUGUCAAAUCACUCCAAAAGAAUGAAAAAAAUUCACUUUUUUAACUUUGAUGACAUGGCAAACAUGUGGAUGACAUGUCAGUAUUUAAUUAUUUUUUUAAAAUUUAAAAUUUAAAAUUUUUAUUUUGAAAAUAUUAAUAUAAUUUUUUUAUUAAAUAAUUUAUUAUUAUAUUUUUAAAAAUAUUUAUGUGUUAUUAUAUAUAUUAAAAAUUAUAUUAUUAUUUAUUGUCAACGAUAUUAUUUUAUUUUUAUAUAUUUUUAAAAUUUAUUAUUAUAUUUUUUGAAAAUAAUUAUGUAUUUUUAUAUAUUUCUUUGAAUUUUUUAAAAUUAGGAUCAAAUUGAGACCAUUUGUAAAUUUUAAGGGUUAAUUUUUUAAAAUUAUGACAAAACCAAUGUAAUAUGUAAAAGUUAAUGGUUAAAUUUGUUAUUAUACCUAUUUUUCAACUACUAUAUCAACCUCUUGUUGGUGCAAUUAAAGGAAAUGGACCAAAAAUAAUAAUCUCAAUUAAUUAGGUGACCAAAAUAAAAAAAUUAUAGUUGAGUGAUGAAUUUUAAAAAAUUCAUAAUUAAAUGACAAAAAAAUAACCCAUAAUUAACUGACCUGUGGUGUAAUUCAACCUUAUAAACAAAUUAAGUCCACCUCAAAUGAAUAGGAGGAAGCUGAUUGCAAAUAAUUUUGGAUCAUGUCUCAGCUCAACAUAUCAUGUACGUUGGUCUGUUGGGAUCAUCAAAUUGAGAAGACUAUGUCCAUUAGGUUGGGAUUGUUUUUUUUUUUUUUCGAUAAACAAAUAAAUAGUAAAACUUUCAAAAAAAAAAUCAUUUUAGGCAUAAAAGGAAAAUGCAAAAUAAGUAUGUUACAAAGAUUGUUGGUUUUUGGUUUCUUUUGUUAAAAUUGUAAAUGAGAAUUUUACCUGAUAUUCUAAUUAUUAUUUUUUAUUUUCCACCUUAAAUAUUAAUAUUCACCUCAUUGUUUUGCAUUCAAAUGAUUUAUUUUCAUUUUAGUCAAUAAAAAACCCUAAACCCUAACAUUUAGGGAACAUCUUGAAUGUUGAAUCUUUUGCAGCAAUGAAAAAUAGAAAUAAAAAAAGGGGAAACACAUGGAGAUUCCUUUAGCUCUAUCUUUCUAGCAAGGCAAUAGAGUGGAAUGUUGGAAUGAUGAGGGCUUCGACUUGUGGCUUUGGGUUUGGGGGCAGGGGGAGCCACCACUAUGGUGGGCAUGUGAAGGCAUCGGCAUCACUAGGCCCCUGUUUAAGCCUCCCCAACAAAACUUUUGUAAGAUUUUUUACACCACAUUUUUAACAUUGGCGAGAUUAAGAUGAAAUCCCAGCUUAAUUUCUCUAAUCAAGACUUUAGGGGGUAUUUUAUUUGGUUAGAUUCGCAACUGAAGACUACCCAAAUGCUGCAAAUUGUUUGGUUAAAGCAGAUGGCAUUUUAGUGAGUAAAAUGAAAAUAAAAAAUUUGAAUGCAAUAUAAUGAGGUGGAGAUUAAUAUCCAAGGUGGAAAUUUUAAAAAAUUAUUUUGAAUGUCAUGUAAGAUUUCUAUUUGCAAUUUUAAUGGGAGUGACUAAAAUGAAUAAAUUUUGUAACGUGAAUGUUCAUUUCACAAUUUUUUUGGGUGCCUAAAAUGAUUUUUUUUAAAUUAGGUAAUUAUCUGUGUAGUUUAUUUUUAUCAAUCGGAGUAUAUUAAAUAUUUUUUAUUUGAGGUAAAUUAGAUUAUUGGUUUAGGCGGAAGAUUUUUGUUGAUUUGAAAUUUUUGUUAACAUCAAUUUAGGAUUUCAACGACUCAAUCCUUUUAUUUUUUAUUUUAA